rnacentral:rRNA from 1 species
GUAAGGUUUUGCUUUGGCCUAUUUAUAUUUUAGGCUAUGUUUUCUGAGUGCAUGCUAGUUUUUGCCUUCCAACAAGGUUUUAAAUAUUUACUAGAAGUAAGUUUGUUGCUGGUUUCAUUUUCAUUAGGUUACUUGAAUGAUAAAAGGGUCUUGUUAAUGCAGUGCAUAAUUUUACGUAAACGGCGCAAGCCGGUAGAAAUGAUUGAUUAAUAUGGGUGGAAAAAAUUGUGCCAGCAUCCGCGGUUACACAGUUACCUUAAGUCUAAAUGAUUGGUGAUACAAAUAAUUUAUAAGUGUUUCAGAAUAUAAAAGUAAAGUGGGUUAAGGGGUUUAAUCUGAAUUACUCACCGCUAGUCUUUUUUUUUCUUUUUAUAUAUUUUGUGAAAGUUACAUAUGGGACUUGGAUUAGAUACCCAAUUACUAUUAACUGUAAAUUUCAGUUACUUGGGGAUUACGGGCUGUUUGCUUAAAACCUAAAAAGCUUGGCGGCUUUCUCAUAAUGCCAGGGGAGUUUGUCAUGUUGUCGAUGAUCCGCGUUAAUUCUUACCUUUUUUUGAAAUUUUUUCAGUUUGUACACCUCCGUCAUAGGUUUACCUUUAAGAGUUAAAUCAGUUAGCCCUAGAAACACACUUUUUUUCCCAGCAGAGAGUUGUGUUUCGUCAUGUCAGGUCAAGGUGCAGCUUAUAGAAAGGUGUUAGAUGAACUACGUUUAAUGUGUUAUUUAUUGGAGUCUUUAAUUAAAAUUAUUGGUGAGAUAGGACUUGGUAGUAAUUAAAGUUUAACAUGCUUUGAUGAAAUAUUACUUGGAAAGUGUACAAAUCGCCCGUCGAUCCAAUUUGAGUGUGGGAUAAGUCGUAACAAAGUAGGCGUACCGGAAGGUGUGUCUG